rnacentral:tRNA from 1 species
GAGCCUGUGGCUCAUCGGUAGAGCGUUCGACCCAAUGGUCAAAUUUCGCGGGUUCGAAUCCCACCUGGUUCA